AAGGAGAAGUCGUAACAAGGUUUCCGUAGGUGAACNUGCGGAAAUAAGUUCUUACGUUUUGUGGGGCGAGGAUGGCUCGCGGCGAGUGUAUUCGAUAAGUCAUAACGACUCUCGGCAACGGAUAUCUCGGCUCUCGCAUCGAUGAAGAACGUAGCAAAAUGCGAUACGUGGUGUGAAUUGCAGGAUCCCGUGAACCAUCGAGUUUUUGAACGCAAGUUGCGCCCGAAGCCUUUAGGCCGAGGGCACGUCUGCCUGGGCGUCACGCACCGUUGCCCCCCAAACCCCCUCAGUCCUCCACGGAGGAUUGGCGAGGCGCGUGGGGGGCGUAAAGUGGCUUCCCGUCGGCUUUGUCCCGCGGUUGGCCUAAAAAUGAAUCCCUAGCCGCGGUGCGCGCGGCAUUCGGUGGUCAUCGAUCCCUUUCGUUACCCCGCCGCGCGCUCACGUGCCGCGAAGGAUGUCACACUAGUAAACCCGACGCCUCGCUUUGUGAAGAGCGGAGCUUACAACGCGACCCCAGGUCAGGCGGGGCUACCCGCUGAA
rnacentral:rRNA from 1 species